rnacentral:rRNA from 1 species
UGGGGAAUUUUGGACAAUGGGGGAAACCCUGAUCCAGCCAUCCCGCGUGUGCGAUGAAGGCCUUCGGGUUGUAAAGCACUUUUGGCAGGAAAGAAACGUCAUGGGUUAAUACCCCGUGAAACUGACGGUACCUGCAGAAUAAGCACCGGCUAACUACGUGCCAGCAGCCGCGGUAAUACGUAGGGUGCAAGCGUUAAUCGGAAUUACUGGGCGUAAAGCGUGCGCAGGCGGUUCGGAAAGAAAGAUGUGAAAUCCCAGAGCUCAACUUUGGAAGUGCAUAUUAAACUAACGGGAUAGAGGGUGUCAGAGGGAGGUGGAAUUCCGCGUGUAGCAGUGAAAGGCGUAGGUAUGCGGGGGAACAACGAUGGCGAAGGCAGCCUGCUGGGAUAACACUGACGAUCAUGCACGAAAGCGUGGGGAGCAAACAGG